AAUCCAAACGUCCAUCAACAGAAGAACAGAUUAAGAAAAUGUGGAGCUUUUAAUUACUUGAGAUGACAAUUUUUAUGUAUCUUUCCCUUCACAAAUGGACACUGGAUUUCUUUAUGCCAUCCAUCCCCCUACCUAGGACACUGUCUCCAAGUUACAGUAGGUCUGAAGUGAAGCAGGUGAAUCUACAGUUUUCAAAAGCUCACCAGCUGAGUCUACUGCACUUCUAGAGCUGGAACCAGGGUGGCACUGGCGUCUGGAGACAGCAGGAAGAGAGACCACGUUCACGUUGUUCAGACAACCUGUCCGCAAGGCCCAAGGAGCUCUGCUAUUAAGCAGUGAGCACUCUGGCCCCCUUUCGCUGCCUGCAUUGGACACGAUGGAACUAGAAGCUUCUGAAAGCAGAUGAAAGGUAAGACACUCCAGGGAAAUGGCUUGUUCCAAUUUACCCCAUCACUCAGAACAGGAUUCCAACAAAGGAGCUAACCCUUUGCAUGACCCCCGCCCCUGGCUCCCUCUCCCACAUAUUCUGUGCCUAGCGUGGGCUUUAUUUCGAGAUACUUUUCAAAUAUGACUUUAUGAUUUGAGGCUUCCAGAUUCCCCACAUGGUUCUCAGUUGUGCAGUGUUUGGCAUGUUAUCUGGGUCAUCAAAGUGCU